UGUGGCCGCGCUGCUGCACCCGCGUGGCGGCCCCCGUCAGGUCCUCCACUGUGGUGAGCAACUCCCCCAUCCUGCGGCAUCAUCAGCACACUCAUGAAGCACACAUUGCACAUCUGUGGUGACUUGUUAUACAAUGAGAUAACAAACAAACAACACAACACCUUUCCGUGGCCUGCUCCAGGAGGUCGGAGAGGUUCCUGCGGGUCUGGGGCGCCUCCUGCUCCACGGUGGAGGUCUGAUGGCCGCAGUGGAGAGUAGCCAGGCAGGCAGCGCAGAGGGGCUCCUGACACCCGCGGCACCACCACCCGACUUCCCCCUCGCCGUGGGUGGAGCAGACCAGAGUGUGGGCCACCUCCCGGAUACCGUGAAUCCUCGCCUCCUGCAGAAAAAGAAAGGUAAUAAUUGCACUGUGAUCAGAGUAAUGUAUUCUAUAGAGUUCAAAA